UACUACCUACGGGAGGCAGCAGUGAGGAAUAUUGGUCAAUGGUCGGGAGACUGAACCAGCCAAGCCGCGUGAGGGAUGAAGGUACAGAGUAUCGUAAACCUCUUUUGUCAGGGAACAAAGGCGGGGACGCGUCCCCGGAUGAGUGUACCUGAAGAAAAAGCAUCGGCUAACUCCGUGCCAGCAGCCGCGGUAAUACGGAGGAUGCGCGCGUUAUCCGGAUUUAUUGGUUUUAAAGGGUGCGCAGGCGGUCUGUUAAGUCAGCGGUCAAAGCCCGGGGCUCAACCCCGGCCCGCCGCUGAACCGGG
rnacentral:rRNA from 1 species